rnacentral:rRNA from 1 species
UUGGACGCUGGCGGAAUGCUUUACACAUGCAAGUCGAACGGCAGCACGGGGGCAACCCUGGUGGCGAGUGGCGAACGGGUGAGUAAUGUAUCGGAACGUACCCAGUCGUGGGGGAUAACUAUCCGAAAGGAUAGCUAAUACCGCAUACGUCCUGAGGGAGAAAGCGGGGGAUCGCAAGACCUCGCGCGAUUGGAGCGGCCGAUAUCGGAUUAGCUAGUUGGUGGGGUAAAGGCCUACCAAGGCGACGAUCCGUAGCUGGUCUGAGAGGAUGAUCAGCCACACUGGGACUGAGACACGGCCCAGACUCCUACGGGAGGCAGCAGUGGGGAAUUUUGGACAAUGGGCGCAAGCCUGAUCCAGCCAUGCCGCGUGAGUGAAGAAGGCCUUCGGGUUGUAAAGCUCUUUCAGACGGAAAGAAAUCGGGCGCGUGAAUAGCGUGCCUGGAUGACGGUACUGUCAGAAGAAGCACCGGCUAACUACGU